rnacentral:rRNA from 1 species
CCUACGGGUGGCAGCAGUGGGGAAUAUUGGGCAAUGGGCGCAAGCCUGACCCAGCCACGCCGCGUGAGGGAAGAAGGCCCUCGGGUUGUAAACUUCUUUUGUCAGGGACGAAACGAAUGACGGUACCUGACGAAUAAGCCACGGCUAAGUACGUGCCAGCAGCCGCGGUAAUCCGUAGGUGGCAAGCGUUAUCCGGAUUUACUGGGUGUAAAGGGAGUGUAGGCGGGAGAGCAAGUCAGAUGUGAAAUUCCAGGGCUCAACCCUGGCACUGCAUUUGAAACUGGCUGUCUUGAGUGAUGGAGAGGCAUGCGGAAUGCGCGGUGUAGCGGUGAAAUGCGUAGAUAUACGGAGGAACACCAGUGGCGAAGGCGGCCUGCUGGACAUUAACUGACGCUGAGGCGCGAAAGCGUGGGGAGCAAACAGGAUUAGAUACCCCAGUAGUC